GUUCGCUGUCUAAAUUUCAAGUCUCUAUGAAUAUUUUUAACUGAAUCGCAACAAAAAAACAAAAUAGAAAAUAAUACAUUUCGUAAAUUUUCCUGUUUUUAUCAGUUUGUCCCAUUUGUUAUGAAAUCCCCUUAGAAAAUCAAUUCUAAUCUAAUUUACUUCUUUAAAGUACAACACGGAGAUAAUUUACUUUCAGAAAAGGUGUUAUACUUGAAAAUCGGAGCAAAAUUUCUGGUAGAAAAGUUGUUCGCAGAAAAAAAAAAAUUACACGAUUAUAAAACCAAUACAUUCCUCGCUUCGCUCAGAAUCUAAAAACUAAACUAUUCAAACGUAACAAGUCGGCUGAUGGAAAAUUCGUGUCUAUAGCGACAGAUCUCGACUAUUUUAUUUCACUUUUGACAACUGUUAUUGUAGACUCCGAGUGUAUAGUUUUAUACUUUCACCGCGGUGGACACGCGAUAGUUGUGUUUUUUACCCCCCCCCAGGGAAGUACUUUUCGCUUAGAAAAAACGCUCCGAAUCAUUAUUGGUCAAAUGCCGAUGUGGAUUUAUUGCGCGGUGGUAGACAUAUACCAUAUCAGAGCCUGAUUAAACAAUAGGCUGAAAAUGCUGGCGCCUAGGGUGCCGUUAAAUGAUGGGGG